ACUACAAACCGAGCUAUCGUUCCAUUUUAAAGUGGGAAGGAAAGUCCGGACAGCUUAGAGCAAUGCACCGGUUAACUACCGGGUCUCCCGAAUAUGUUCGGGGGAACAGAUAGUGCCACAGAAAAUAACUGCCCCAUUCCUGUUUACAGGGCGGGGGAAAGGUGAAAACGUGAGGUAAGAGCUCACGGUUGCAGCAAGUAAUUGUUGCGACGGGUAAACCUUGCAUGCUGAAAUGCCAUGUAUACCAGCUUCUACGGGCUGCUCGUCCGUUGUUCCGGAUCCCGGAGCAGGUUGGAGGGUAGGCAGAUAGAUCGCCACAGUAAUGUGGAGACCAGAGAAAUGAUAGCUGUUCUUUCGCAUCGCGAAAGAAAACAGAAUCCGGCUUACAGGUUUGUAGUCCUU
rnacentral:RNase_P_RNA from 1 species